GAUGAACGCUGGCGGCGUGCCUAAUACAUGCAAGUCGAGCGAACAGACGAGGAGCUUGCUCCUCUGACGUUAGCGGCGGACGGGUGAGUAACACGUGGAUAACCUACCUAUAAGACUGGGAUAACUUCGGGAAACCGGAGCUAAUACCGGAUAAUAUAUUGAACCGCAUGGUUCAAUAGUGAAAGACGGUUUUGCUGUCACUUAUAGAUGGAUCCGCGCCGCAUUAGCUAGUUGGUAAGGUAACGGCUUACCAAGGCAACGAUGCGUAGCCGACCUGAGAGGGUGAUCGGCCACACUGGAACUGAGACACGGUCCAGACUCCUACGGGAGGCAGCAGUAGGGACUCUUCCGCAAUGGGCGAAAGCCUGACGGAGCAACGCCGCGUGAGUGAUGAAGGUCUUCGGAUCGUAAAACUCUGUUAUUAGGGAAGAACAAAUGUGUAAGUACCUAUGCACGUCUUGACGGUACCUAAUCAGAAAGCCACGGCUAACUACGUG
rnacentral:rRNA from 1 species